UACGGGGGGGGCAAGCGUUGUUCGGAAUUACUGGGCGUAAAGGGCUCGUAGGCGGCCAACUAAGUCAGACGUGAAAUCCCCAGGCUUAACCUGGGAACUGCGUCUGAUACUGGAUGGCUUGAAUUCGGGAGAGGGAUGCAGAAUUCCAGGUGUAGCGGUGAAAUGCGUAGAUAUCGGGAGGAACACCGGUGGCGAAGGCGGUUCUCUGGGCCUGUACUGACGCUGAGGAGCGAAAGCGUGGGGAGCGAACAGG
rnacentral:rRNA from 1 species